rnacentral:misc_RNA from 1 species
AAGUCGUAACAAGGUUUCCGUAGGUGAACCUGCGGAAGGAUCAUUAUCGUAGGGCUUGUGCCUAUCGAGAUAGCACCCCUUUGACCAUGAGUACUCUUUAUUUCCUUGGCAUAGUAACUUGCCAAUGGGGAUCUGAUGAAACCUUAUGUAGUAGUUGCAAAUGUCUAAAAAAUAAUAAUUCAUAACUUUCAACAACGGAUCUCUUGGCUCUG